CUCGAUAGUAUCCAAUCUCAUGGCCAACCCGAAGGUUGCCACCCCGGGGUCAACCCCGACUCACUCUCAAUCUCAUAGGUGAGGAGAAUCUGCACUCGCACACCGAGACCGUCUGCGGGACAAUCCUAUGUGAAUACUCCAGAGACCACUGCUUCGGUGGAGUGACCACCGACAAGCGAAAACAGACUAGUGAGUAUGAUCCAAUCCUCACAAGAGGAUACCCUAUCUAUCAGGGUCAAUGUGUCUCUGCUGCACAAUACCAAAUGCAUAAUCAAUGCCUCAAAUGCACUAAUGCCAAAUGCAUAAUGUCUACAACAUGACAAUCGGGAAAAUCUACUAUCCCUAGGUUCAAAUGCCAUAGUGUUCCACUACACUAGAUUUGAUGCCACUCGUUUAUGUCAUGAUGUUAUAUGUGUCUUAAUGCACUAAAUCGACAUGCCACUCGUCAAUAUUAUAGUGUCUUUAUUACACUAGUCCAAACGCCACUCGUCUAGGCCAAUUACAUGUCCAUGUUCAUCAUCAUUCUUGUCACCAUAGGAUUCUUGUCGUAAGACCCAAUCCUCAUGCAAUCUAAGAUCAAGUGUCAAGCCCACAAUGCUACACAACCUAGGUAACAUGCAAGGAAUGGAAAUGUAAUCAUCUACUAAUCCUAUAAUGCACAAUAUAUCAACAUAUAGGAAUAUGAUCAACGUAUAUAACUUAGACAUAAAAGGAAGCUCAGUUGCUUCGGGAUGGACACCCCCCACCUUUUAAUGCUACCAAGAGGCUAGGGUUCCGAUUUCGUGAUUUUUGGAAGCUUUCGCCGCGAGCUGCGGCAAUCUGUACCUUAACGGCUUCGUUUUUUAAUAUCUUCACGUAGCCUCGUCGUAUCGCCGAACCGACUUCGCUAACGCAUCAGAAAACCUAGCAAUUAGGUUUAUACAUGAUCAAUUUAGAUCAAACCCUCACAUAUUGCAAAAUCUCAUUUUUGAGCCCUAACAUGCAAUUACCCCCAAAUAAUCCAAAUUAAAUGGAGCAACAUGCUAAGAAUACUCAUUAGAGGCUACUAGAACACUUAAGCUUAAGGAUUAAGCCAAAUCCCAAAAGUUUACCAAAAUGUGAACGCCGAGACGGAAGCACGCCGUUCCAACGGGUGCACGAAAGCUCGAUCCGUCGCUCCCAACGCGUUCGCAAGCUCGUUCUUCGCCAACGCCGCGAAUUUGGGUGAAAGAUCUAGAGAGAUGAGAGAGUUAUUUAGAGAGAGAAAGUGAGGAUUUC
rnacentral:lncRNA from 1 species